UACGGAGGGAGCUAGCGUUGUUCGGAAUUACUGGGCGUAAAGCGUACGUAGGCGGUUAUUCAAGUCAGAGGUGAAAGCCCGGGGCUCAACCCCGGAACUGCCUUUGAAACUAGAUAACUAGAAUCUUGGAGAGGUCAGUGGAAUUCCGAGUGUAGAGGUGAAAUUCGUAGAUAUUCGGAAGAACACCGGUGGCGAAGGCGACUGACUGGACAAGUAUUGACGCUGAGGUACGAAAGCGUGGGGAGCAAACAGG
rnacentral:rRNA from 1 species